GUCCGGCUGACGAGUCCCAAAUAGGAAGAAACGCUAGUCUCGGAU
rnacentral:hammerhead_ribozyme from 1 species